rnacentral:lncRNA from 1 species
CUGAUAGUCACUUCUUUAUUCUUUAUUUCAACAAAAAGAAAAGAACUACAAAUUAUAUAUAAGAAGAUGUGGUAUGUUGGGCAAUGAUGACAUCCCUUCACAGAACCCAGUAUCUCGCCUAAUUUAUGAAGUUGAGGAACUUUUACUGCAGAUUGCAUGUAAUAUUUACUGGAAGACAAACUUCGUCCAUAUAUAAGUAACAUUAUAUUAUACAAAUAUAAAAUACAAAUACAAACUUUAACCACAG